ACGAGAACGUUUCAGCUUGCUGAAACUAGUAAAGUGGCGCACGGGUGAGUAACGCGUGGGUAAUCUACCUUCAAAUUGGGGAUAACAUUGCGAAAGCGAUGCUAAUACCGAAUAAUAUCUCAAAAGUUUUGGCUUUUGAGAUCAAAGGUGGCCUCUCCAUGGAAGCUACUGUUAGGAGAUGAGCCCGCGUACCAUUAGCUUGUUGGUAGGGUAAUGGCCUACCAAGGCAACGAUGGUUAGCUGGUCUGAGAGGAUGAUCAGCCACACUGGAACUGACACACGGUCCAGACUCCUACGGGAGGCAGCAGUGAGGAAUUUUGCGCAAUGGGGGAAACCCUGACGCAGCAACGCCGCGUGAGUGAUGAAGGCUUUCGGGUCGUAAAGCUCUGUCAAGUGGGAAGAACCUGCCCAGUGCUAAUAUCACCGGGCAUUGACGGUACCACUGAAGGAAGCACCGGCUAACUCCGUGCCAGCAGCCGCGGUAAUACGGGGGGUGCAAGCGUUGUUCGGAAUUAUUGGGCGUAAAGCGCGUGUAGGCGGUCUGAUUAGUCUGAUGUGAAAGCCCUGGGCUCAACCCAGGAAGUGCAUUGGAUACUGUCAGACUUGAAUACGGGAGAGGG
rnacentral:rRNA from 1 species